rnacentral:ncRNA from 1 species
UAAAAUGCAAUGAAAAAGAAGAGUAUAUGACAACUUAUUUUAAAGAGAGUUCUUCAUUUGCUGAGAGAAGAAUAUUUAAGAUCAUAGAAAGAAGCUUUGGAGUAUAAGAUUGAAAUUAUUUUAUAAGUAGUAAAUCUUAGGUAGAAUCUCACCUUAUAGAGAUAUUAAGAGAGCUAAAAAUUUAGCUAAAUUAGGUGGUACCGCGUGAAGUUAGUCUUUUCGUCCUAAAU